rnacentral:rRNA from 1 species
AGAGAGAGACAUGCGCGCAUAUCAAUAAGCGGAGGAAAAGAAACUAACAAGGAUUCCCCUAGUAACGGCGAGUGAAGCGGGAAGAGCUCAAAUUUGAAAUCUUAAAGGGUUUCCCUUUACGAAUUGUAGUUUAAAGAAGUGUUUUCUGUUGAGGUUUUGGUAAAAGUUCUUUGGAAUAGGACAUCAUAGAGGGUGAGAAUCCCGUAUUUGACCUUUACUUUCAACUUUGUGAUACACUUUCAAAGAGUCGGAUUGUUUGGGAAUGCAGUCCAAAAUGGGUGGUAAAUUUCAUCUAAAGCUAAAUAUUGGCGAGAGACCGAUAGCGAACAAGUACCGUGAGGGAAAGAUGAAAAGAACUUUGAAAAGAGAGUUAAACAGUACGUGAAAUUGUCAAAAGGGAAGCGUUUGACACCAGUGUUGUUUUUCUGAAAAUCAAUUAAAGAACUGUUUAUGCUAAGUUGUUUAGACUUUAUCAGCCUAACUGUUUAGUUUUGAGCUUUUCUUUAAUGCACUUUUCAGUUAACAAGUCAACAUCAAUUUCUUUUGCUGUAAAAAAGCUUGAGGAAGGUGGCUUGAGAUUCGUCUUAAGUGUUUAUAGCCUCUUGCCUAUGCAGUCGGAGAGAUUGAGGUCUGCAGCGUAGAUCCUUCGGGGCUAAAUGCAUUUGUGCUAAGUUAUAGCAUUUUAUAGACAACUUGUUGACUAUGAUUUGUCUUGUAGCUUACUCGCUUAUGUUGUUUUACCUACGCUUAGGAUGUUGAGCGCAUGUCUCUCUCU